AAUAAACCCAGUUUUCGCCUCUGUGUGUAAAUUCUAUUUUUCACAGUGAGGACCUCCUCGGGACAGGUUCGCAUCAGAAACCAAGUAUGGACUGACUACCUUGGUGUUGGAAGGAUUUAUGGAGGACAUCCUGGAAAAGCGCUCCUGUCCCCCACCCCCACAAAGAGAGAAACAAUUAAAAAAGAUGCUCUCGCCAUUUCAUGCAUGACAAAACUUUUUGUUUGUGGCAAAGAGAGGGGCUGCAGGGCAAACAUCUGCGGAGCAAAGUACGGAAGAAGACUGACGGACAACAUGGCUCCAUUCAAACUGGACGGAACCAAGAUGUCCCUGGUUCGACUCUCCACCCUUUCUGCCUGUGUCACGGCCCUCCGGUUAAGGUGCAUCUAGUGUAGUUAGUGAGGUGUUUCAGAAUCUACUGCCCUAGUUGCUCCUUCUGGCUGGAGGGCUUGUUCUUUUUCAAAACCUUUAGUCUGUUUUCCCUGAAAACUGCUGCAGCUCUUCAGUGUCUUAGUUCUCUGAAGAUGAUUUGUGCUUCCUUUUUCUGUUGCAGUGGCUUGUAAAAAUAUUCAUGAACUGUUCCAUGUUUUAUAAUGUCACAACCAUGGACUUUAAACAUCAGUGUGUUGUAUUUAGAUGUUUAUAUGAUGGACAAACAAAGUAGGGCGGGAUUAUAAAGUGAAAGGAAAAUAGUUUUACAUGGAUUUUCAAAAUGUCUUACAAAUAAAAAUCUGAAAAGUGUGGCAUGCA